AUACACACAAAACUUUCGGGGCUCCACUUAGCAAAAAUUUGCUGUUACUUUCCUAAAAAUGAAGACUACCUAGCCGCUUUUUUCGGACAGCAGCCGCCGGCUAAGAGAAAAAAUAAACAAGUCGGCGCGUGCAAAUCAGUGCGAUUUUAAAAUUUGAUUCUGGCGGUUUUUGUGGACACGGUGAUAACUAUAGAAGGACAAUGGAAAGGAAGCCAAACCAAUACUGGGAGCACAAUGGCCCCAAGAAGAAAAGGAACCAGCACCCCAACAUUCGGAGCCUCCUUGGAACGAACAGAUUAUGGAGAUCAGUUUUUACGAGCUAAAUUUUAAGUGACUUGAGAAAUGAAAAAAAAAUUUAAAUAAAUUAAGUGAAAG